rnacentral:rRNA from 1 species
AUUGAACGCUGGCGGCAGGCUUAACACAUGCAAGUCGAGCGGUGUGAUGUAGCUUGCUACAUUACCUAGCGGCGGACGGGUGAGUAAUGCUUAGGAAUCUGCCUAUUAGUGGGGGACAACAUUCCGAAAGGAAUGCUAAUACCGCAUACGCCCUACGGGGGAAAGCAGGGGAUCUUCGGACCUUGCGCUAAUAGAUGAGCCUAAGGCAGAUUAGCUAGUUGGUGGGGUAAAGGCCUACCAAGGCGACGAUCUGUAGCGGGUCUGAGAGGAUGAUCCGCCAGACUGGGACUGAGACACGGCCCAGACUCCUACGGGAGGCAGCAGUGGGGAAUAUUGGACAAUGGGCGAAAGCCUGAUCCAGCCAUGCCGCGUGUGUGAAGAAGGCCUUUUGGUUGUAAAGCACUUUAAGCGAGGAGGAGGCUACCUGGAUUAAUACUCUAGGAUAGUGGACGUUACUCGCAGAAUAAGCACCGGCUAACUCUGUGCCAGCAGCCGCGGUAACAC